CACCAGCGCUACUGCAUGUGUACAGCGUUUCACGCCUCGGGUAAUAAGUUUUGCGUAGAGUUUCUGAACAAAAUUAGGCAAACGCAACAGAAACGUUCGAAUUGUCCGAAAGAAGAAUUCGCGCGCUAAUAAACAUCCCGGAUAAGAUGGUAUGGAGAGUCAGCUGCUGUCUCUGGUGAUACUAAUUGUCACAAAUUUACGUCUAUCAACGGAAACUCAGUCAGCUACAGUGAGCAUUUGUGAGGAGACUGUUGUAGUCUACUAUCCUAGCAGAACAGCCGUCGAAGUUUUGCUCAGUGAACCCGCAAAUGCUCCCGUCAAUGUCACGUGUGAGUCUAUCUCAGGUACACGUACAGCAAGAGUACACAAGACAGAUACAAAUGCAAUUUUUAUUAAUUAAAAUAAUUGAUGCAUGACUUUAAUUGAGAGCCACUGCAAACUUGGUAUAGUGGAGGAAUGUUUGGCUUGUAUCUAGAAAUUACUGAAAGCUGCUAGCAGUCAUAAAGCGUUAGCUAAUCUACUCUCUUCUAAUGAAAUUAUUUUUAGUUAAAAGGUGACUACUAAUCUGCUAGACUGACUAUAGCCAAAUGUGAAAUACUGUAAUGCAAUCAUCUGCAGAAUUAAGGGGCUGGUCACUUUUAACUGUCCAGGGGUAGGGCGUUUUGC